UUUUCCCAUUCUAAAGCCUCUUUUACGUUAAUUUGAAUUUAAUUUUCAUGCCACUUUAGAUACAAUAUAUUUGUCUUUCAGAGUUUUUGUUUUAGGUAGUUUUUUAACAGUUUAACUGGGAAAUUAAAAUGUAUAUUUAGAAGUUACAUUAUCAGGAUGAACUAAUUAAUUGUCCAGAAGAGAAGAGUGAGAUUUUAUAAUCUUCUUUGAUUUGAUUGUCAGUGGAAGAAUCAGACAUCAUUCAUCUGGACAAAUGCUAUUGGUUGCUGAAGGCUCAAUCCCAAACUGGAUGAUUUGAUUUAGAGACAUUUGGCCCAUUGGCUUCACCACCAAUUCGUCCAUCUCUGAGUGAAUGUGGGAAUCCUUCUAUUUUCUUCAAAUGUUCUUUGCUAAACACAUGAGCCUUGUUCCACCUUUGGAGCCUUGUGUUUAUUUAAUGCUUUUGGUGAAAAUGAUGACAGCCACAUAGAUAUUAAGGAGAUAUCCUGUGGGCUAUCAGCUUGUUGCAGAGGACCUCUGGCUGAAAGACAGAAAUGUAAGUGUGUUAAACAUCACAAAAUUUGGAAGCUAUACAGAGAAAAAAAUUAGCAUCCAUUCAUGUAAAAAAUCAUCUGAUUAAGGCUUGAAUUUUCAUCCCUUUGGCAAAUAGCAAUCUCUUGCUGAGGUUUUACUGAGUUUGCUUCAAGGUAUUUGAUGUUGAUGGUGAUGGAGUUCUCUGUAGGGUUGAACUGAGAGACACGUGGUUGCACAGAGGUCUGGAAGGACAACUGCACCGAUGAUACCCUGGAAUUACUUGUGGAUCUAUCCAACAUUGUAGAAGACACAUAGAAUGCACAUGACACCACAAAGAAUGGCCAUCUUAACUCUAGAAGAAUAUCAGAUCUGGAGUGUGAAAAAUGUUCUUGCCAAUGAGUUUUUGAAUAUACUUUUCCAGGUAUGUUUAAGGUAAAUGACAGAGACCGAGGGCAGUGGUACCAGUAGUUCUACAUCUUUUCCAUUAUGUAGUAGUUAGACAACUAGACUACAAAACCAUAUAUUGUCAAAAGAACUGCUUUAACCUGUACACCACCUGCAGAUGGUAAGUUAGAGCGUGCGUGCUUCUCAGAGUCACAAUGUGCAUGAUAGGAAAGUAGAGUAUAGCUGAUAAAGUUUAUCUUAAUAACUCAUGAUAGAGCAGAUUGUAGACACAUAGAAAAGAAUUUAAAAUGUAAAAGCCAUUAUAAUUUGCUAUUUUUCUUUACUUUUUUUUUUAAGACCCUCC